rnacentral:rRNA from 1 species
UAAAGGAAUUGGCGGGGGAGCACAGCAACGGGUGGAGCGUGCGGUUUAAUUGGAUUCAACGCCGGAAAGCUACCGGGGGAGACUGCCGUAUGUGGGCCAGGCUGAAGACCUUGCCCGAACAAUUGGCAGAGAGGUGGUGCAUGGCCGUCGUCAGCUCGUACCGUAAGGCGUUCUGUUAAGUCAGGUAACGAGCGAGACCCCCGCCCUUAGUUGCUAUCUGUCCCUCCGGGGACAGAGCACACUAAGGGGACCGCUGGCGAUAAGCCAGAGGAAGGAGGGGGCAACGGUAGGUCAGUAUGCCCUGAAUCCCCCGGGCUACACGCGCGCUACAAAGGCUGGGACAAUGGGUUGCGACCCCGAAAGGGGGAGCUAAUCCCUAAACCCAGUCGUAGUUCGGAUCGAGGGUUGCAACUCACCCUCGUGAAGCUGGAUUCCGUAGUAAUCGCGGGUCAACAUCCCGCGGUGAAUACGUCCCUGCUCCUUGCACACACCGCCA